GUGAGGAAUAUUGCGCAAUGGAGGCAACUCUGACGCAGCCAUGCCGCGUGCAGGAAGAAGGCGCUACGCGUUGUAAACUGCUUUUAACCGGGAAGAAACCCCAGGACGUGUCCUGGGUUGACGGUACCGGAGGAAUAAGCACCGGCUAACUUCGUGUCAGCAGCCGCGGUAAUACGAAGGGUGCAAGCGUUAUCCGGAUUCAUUGGGUUUAAAGGGUGCGUAGGCGGAGCGUUAAGUCAGUGGUGAAAUCCUGCAGCUUAACUGUAGACUUGCCAUUGAUACUGGCGCUCUUGAGUGCGCUUGAAGUGGGCGGAAUGUGCCGUGUAGCGGUGAAAUGCUUAGAUAUGGCACAGAACACCAAUUGCGAAGGCAGCUCACUAAGGCGAUACUGACGCUGAGGCACGAAAGCGUGGGGAUCGAACAGGAUUAGAUACCCUAGUAGUCC
rnacentral:rRNA from 1 species